rnacentral:rRNA from 1 species
AAGUCCGUUGUGAAAGCCCUGGGCUCAACCUGGGAAUUGCAGUGGAUACUGGGUCACUAGAGUGUGGUAGAGGAUAGUGGAAUUUCCGGUGUAGCAGUGAAAUGCGUAGAGAUCGGAAGGAACAUCUGUGGCGAAGGCGACUAUCUGGGCCAACACUGACACUGAGGCACGAAAGCGUGGGGAGCAAACAGGAUUAGAUACCCUGGUAGUCCACGCCCUAAACGAUGCGAACUGGAUGUUGGGUUCAACUUGGAACCCAGUAUCGAAGCUAACGCGUUAAGUUCGCCGCCUGGGGAGUACGGUCGCAAGACUGAAACUCAAAUGAAUUGACGG